GCCGUCCGGGCUGUGGGUACCGCCCUAACAGCCACUCUGGCCGCGGAGAGGCGGGCCUAAGGAGUGACGUACGCUCGGGGUGAGGCUCCGCCCGCUCUGUGGAGGCUCUCAAGCGGGGUAUUUGGCCACAGCGACAUCAGAGACAAGAAGAGACACAGAUGAGAGACAAGCACAUGAAAGAUGCUUACCAUCCUUCGCCAUGGCAAAAAGUGAAAUUAAAAAGUCGAGGGGACAUUACUGUGCAUCUGAUGGAGACAUGAGGACCCGUAGGGCUUGCUGGCCAGCCAGUCUAGCCCAGUCAGUAAGCUCCAGGUUCCAUUGUGCCUGUGGUCUUCAAGAGCUCUGCACACCCACAGACAUAAAAAUAAAGUUCAGGUGAAAUAAAUG
rnacentral:lncRNA from 1 species